rnacentral:rRNA from 1 species
UACGUAGGGUGCGAGCGUUGUCCGGAAUUACUGGGCGUAAAGAGCUCGUAGGUGGUUUGUCGCGUUGUUCGUGAAAACUCACAACUCAAUUGUGGGCGUGCGGGCGAUACGGGCAGACUGGAGUACUGCAGGGGAGACUGGAAUUCCUGGUGUAGCGGUGGAAUGCGCAGAUAUCAGGAGGAACACCGGUGGCGAAGGCGGGGCUCUGGGCAGGAACUGACGCUGAGGAGCGAAAGCGUGGGGAGCGAACAGG